rnacentral:rRNA from 1 species
UACGAAGGGGGCUAGCGUUGCUCGGAAUCACUGGGCGUAAAGCGCACGUAGGCGGAUCUUUAAGUCAGGGGUGAAAUCCCAAGGCUCAACCUUGGAACUGCCUUUGAUACUGGGGAUCUCGAGUCCGGAAGAGGUGAGUGGAACUCCGAGUGUAGAGGUGAAAUUCGUAGAUAUUCGGAAGAACACCAGUGGCGAAGGCGGCUCACUGGCCCGGUACUGACGCUGAGGUGCGAAAGCGUGGAGAACAAACAGG